rnacentral:misc_RNA from 1 species
AUUCUCAACCCAACAAGUUCUUAACGGGACUUUGCUUGUGGCUUGGACUUGGAGGUUUGUCGGCUCAUUAGCAGUCGGCUCCUCUCAAAUGCAUUARCUUGGUUCCUUGCGGAUCGGCUCACGGUGUGAUAAUUGUCUACGCCGCGACCGUUGAAGCGUUUAAUGGCCAGCUUCUAAUCGUCUCUUGCGAGACAGCAUUCAUCGAA